GACAGAGGCCACGAGCGUUAGGCGGAAUCACUGGGCUUAAAGCGUGCGUAGGCGGCUCAGAAAGUUGGGUGUGAAAUCCCUCGGCUUAACCGAGGAAUUGCGCCCAAAACUACUGGGCUUGAGGGAGUUAGAGGUGAGCGGAACUCACGGUGGAGCGGUGAAAUGCGUUGAUAUCGUGAGGAACACCGGAGGCGAAAGCGGCUCACUGGGGCUUCACUGACGCUGAGGCACGAAAGCUAGGGGAGCAAACGGG
rnacentral:rRNA from 1 species